rnacentral:rRNA from 1 species
UACGUAGGGCGCAAGCGUUAUCCGGAAUUAUUGGGCGUAAAGAGCUCGUAGGCGGUUUGUCGCGUCUGCCGUGAAAGUCCGGGGCUCAACUCCGGAUCUGCGGUGGGUACGGGCAGACUAGAGUGAUGUAGGGGGACUGGAAUUCCUGGUGUAGCGGUGAAAUGCGCAGAUAUCAGGAGGAACACCGAUGGCGAAGGCAGGUCUCUGGGCAUUAACUGACGCUGAGGAGCGAAAGCAUGGGGAGCGAACAGG